GAUGAACGCUGGCGGCGUGCCUAAUACAUGCAAGUCGAGCGAACAGACGAGGAGCUUGCUCCUCUGACGUUAGCGGCGGACGGGUGAGUAACACGUGGAUAACCUACCUAUAAGACUGGGAUAACUUCGGGAAACCGGAGCUAAUACCGGAUAAUAUAUUGAACCGCAUGGUUCAAUAGUGAAAGACGGUUUUGCUGUCACUUAUAGAUGGAUCCGCGCCGCAUUAGCUAGUUGGUAAGGUAACGGCUUACCAAGGCAACGAUGCGUAGCCGACCUGAGAGGGUGAUCGGCCAAACUGGAACUGAGACAAGGUCCAGACUACUACGGGAGGCAGCAGUAGGGAAUAUUCCGCAAUGGGCGAAAGCCUGACGGAGCAACGCCGCGUGAGUGAUGAAGGUCUUCGGAUCGUAAAACUCUGUUAUUAGGGAAGAACAAAUGUGUAAGUAACUAUGCACGUCUUGACGGUACCUAAUCAGAAAGCCACGGCUAACUACGUG
rnacentral:rRNA from 1 species